CUCUUGAGAGCGGCGGACGGGUGAGUAAUGCCUAGGAAUCUGCCUGGUAGUGGGGGAUAACGUUCGGAAACGGACGCUAAUACCGCAUACGUCCUACGGGAGAAAGCAGGGGACCUUCAGGCCUUGCGCUAUCAUAUGAGCCUAGGUCGGAUUAUCUAGUUGGUGAGGUAAUGGCUCACCAAGGCGACGAUCCGUAACUGGUCUGAGAGGAUGAUCAGUCACACUGGAACUGAGACACGGUCCAGACUCCUACGGGAGGCAGCAGUGGGGAAUAUUGGACAAUGGGCGAAAGCCUGAUCCAGCCAUGCCGCGUGUGUGAAGAAGGUCUUCGGAUUGUAAAGCACUUUAAGUUGGGAGGAAGGGCAGUUACCUAAUACGUGAUUGUUUUGACGUUACCGACAGAAUAAGCACCGGCUAACUCUGUGCCAGCAGCCGCGGUAAUACAGAGGGUGCAAGCGUUAAUCGGAAUUACUGGGCGUAAAGCGCGCGUAGGUGGUUUGUUAAGUUGGAUGUGAAAUCCCCGGGCUCAACCUGGGAACUGCAUUCAAAACUGACUGACUAGAGUGUGGUAGAGGGUGGUGGAAUUUCCUGUGUAGCGGUG
rnacentral:rRNA from 1 species